rnacentral:rRNA from 1 species
GACGAACGCUGGCGGCGUGCCUAAUACAUGCAAGUAGAACGCUGAAGGAGGAGCUUGCUUCUCCGGAUGAGUUGCGAACGGGUGAGUAACGCGUAGGUAACCUGCCUGGUAGCGGGGGAUAACUAUUGGAAACGAUAGCUAAUACCGCAUAAGAGUAGAUGUUGCAUGACAUUUGCUUAAAAGGUGCAAUUGCAUCACUACCAGAUGGACCUGCGUUGUAUUAGCUAGUUGGUGGGGUAACGGCUCACCAAGGCGACGAUACAUAGCCGACCUGAGAGGGUGAUCGGCCACACUGGGACUGAGACACGGCCCAGACUCCUACGGGAGGCAGCAGUAGGGAAUCUUCGGCAAUGGACAGAAGUCUGACCGAGCAACGCCGCGUGAGUGAAGAAGGUUUUCGGAUCGUAAAGCUCUGUUGUAAGAGAAGAACGAGUGUGAGAAGUGGAAA